GAACGCUGGCGGCAGGCUUAACACAUGCAAGUCGAGCGGAAACGAAGGUAGCUUGCUACCAGGCGUCGAGCGGCGGACGGGUGAGUAAUGCUUAGGAAUCUACCGAGUAGUGGGGGAUAGCCAUUGGAAACGAUGAUUAAUACCGCAUAUAUCCUACGGGGGAAAGCAGGGGACCUUCGGGCCUUGCGCUAUUCGAUGAGCCUGAGUGAGAUUAGCUAGUUGGUGGGGUAAAGGCCUACCAAGGCGACGAUCUCUAGCUGGUCUGAGAGGAUGAUCAGCCACACUGGGACUGAGACACGGCCCAGACUCCUACGGGAGGCAGCAGUGGGGAAUAUUGCACAAUGGACGAAAGUCUGAUGCAGCCAUGCCGCGUGUGUGAAGAAGGCCUUCGGGUUGUAAAGCACUUUCAGCGAGGAGGAAAGGUCAGUAAGUAAUAUUUGCUGGCUGUGACGUUACUCGCAGAAGAAGCACCGGCUAAUUUAGUGCCAGCAGCCGCGGUAAUACUAAAGGUGCAAGCGUUAAUCGGAAUUACUGGGCGUAAAGCGCGCGUAGGUGGUUUGUUAAGUUGGAUGUGAAAGCCCAGGGCUCAACCUUGGAACUGCAUUCAAAACUGACUCACUAGAGUACGAGAGAGGUUAGUGGAAUUUCCUGUGUAGCGGUGAAAUGCGUAGAGAUGGGAAGGAACACCAGUGGCGAAGCGACUGACUGGCUCG
rnacentral:rRNA from 1 species